rnacentral:rRNA from 1 species
AUACGUAGGGAGCGAGCGUUGUCCGGAAUUACUGGGCGUAAAGGGCGCGUAGGCGGCGCUUCAAGUCGUCUGUCAAAUGGGAGGGCUUAACCCUUUUUCGCAGACGAAACUGGAGAGCUUGAGAAGCAGAGAGGCAAACAGAAUUCCUGGUGUAGCGGUGAAAUGCGUAGAUAUCAGGAAGAAUACCAGUGGCGAAGGCGGUUUGCUGGCUGCAUACUGACGCUGAAGCGCGAAAGCCAGGGGAGCAAACGGGAUUAGAUACCCCGGUAGUCCUGGCAGUAAACGAUGUAUGCUGGGUGUGAGACUAGCGAUAGUUUCGUGCCGAAGUUAACGCGAUAAGCAUACCGCCCGGGGAGUACGGUCGCAAGAUUGAAACUCAAAGGAAUUGACGGGG